ACAUUGGUGGUUCAGUGGUAGAAUCCUCACCUUCCAUGCGACAGACCUGGGUUUGAUUCCCACCUGAUGCA
rnacentral:tRNA from 1 species